GAUGAAGAACGUAGCGAAAUGCGAUACGUAAUGUGAAUUGCAGAAUUCAGUGAAUCAUCGAAUCUUUGAACGCAUAUUGCGCUCUCUGGUAUUCCGGAGAGCAUGCUUGUUUGAGUAUCAGUAAACACCUCAACUUCCAUAUCUUUUUUUGAAAUGGGAGUUGGACUUGAGUGAUCCCAACGCUUUUCCUCACCGAAAAGUGGCGGGUUACUUGAAAUGCAGGUGCAGCUGGACUUUUCUCUGAGCUAUAAGCAUAUCUACUUAGUCUGCCUAAAAAACAGAUUAUUACCUUUGCUGCAGCUAACAUAAAGGAGAUUAGUUCUUGUGCUGACUGAUGCAGGAUUCACAAAGACAGCUUCGGCCGACUUUGUAAACUCGAUCUCAAAUCAAGUAAGACUACCCGCUGAACUUAAGCAUAUCAAUAAGCGGAGGA
rnacentral:misc_RNA from 1 species